rnacentral:rRNA from 1 species
GAUGAACGCUGGCGGCGUGCCUAAUACAUGCAAGUCGAGCGAACGGACAAGAAGCUUGCUUCUCUGAUGUUAGCGGCGGACGGGUGAGUAACACGUGGAUAACCUACCUAUAAGACUGGGAGAACUUCGGGAAACCGGAGCUAAUACCGGAUGAUAUUUUGAACCGCAUGGUUCAAAAGUGAAAGACGGUCUUGCUGUCACUAAUAGAUGGAUCCGCGCUGCAUUAGCUAGUUGGUAAGGUAACGGCUUACCAAGGCAACGAUGCAUAGCCGAGCUGAGAGGGUGAUCAGCCACACUGGAACUGAGACACGGUCCAGACUCCUACGGGAGGCAGCAGUAGGGAAUCUUCCGCAAUGGUCGCAAGCCUGACGGAGCAACGCCGCGUGAGUGAUGAAGGUCUUCGGAUCGUAAAACUCUGUUAUUAGGGAAGAACAUAUGUGUAAGUAACUGUGCACAUCUUGACGGUACCUAAACAGAAAGCAACGGCUAACUACGUG